rnacentral:tRNA from 1 species
CGGGGCGUAGCGCAGUUUGGUAGCGCACUUGCCUGGGGGGCAAGGGGUCGCAGGUUCAAAUCCUGCCGCUCCGACCA